GUGGCACGUCCAGGGACAGCAGCCAAGACGAGCGCCAGGUCCACUUUGGGCCUUCGAAACAAACCUGUCUUUCAGCCUGGCCGCGAACGCACGAGUACUUCUAAAUGGAAAUGUUAGGAAAGCAGAGAAAAGGAUUAAAUCUCCGAAAGUAUCCAUCCACUCAGGCAAAAAUAACGCUCAUGACUCACCCCUCAAAGGGAGCGAACAGAAGUGGAAACGCUUCCCCCCUUCUAGGAAAAAUACAAAUGACAGUGACAACCAGGCUACACAGAGGUCAAGGAAGGGGUCCAGGAAGUAAGCAGCGAUUUGCAGACACAGCCCCACUGCAGAUGAGACACCAGUACACAGAGUGGUCAACUGCCCGCUGCCUAUGAGUUUUCAGUAUUAAACAAAUUCAAUGGUUCUGAAUAUAUGCAACAGGAUCAUACAUUACGCAGUGUUCUGAGUGCUUCAGGCAGCCGAUGCAAAAAGCCUUGCAUUUUGGGGGACUUUCCCCCUUUAAUGUACAGCCCCUCAGAGUCCACCUCAGAGGCCACCCCAGAGCCCAUGUUUUUAACAUUGGCAGGUGUCCCUGAUGUCCCCUUGGAACUGGGUGAGACUGACAACGAAAGGCCCCAGCUCAGGCAGUUGCGGGCGGAGGGCAUCUGGGAGGCUUUGCACCCCACCCACCGCCCUGGGUUCUCCACAUCAUCGCUGCGCCUCGCCUUCCACUAAUCACCGAGUCACAUUUCUGGAUUUCAGUGUAAUUGCUGCUGACUGUCCUGUGGAGACUGCGGGAAAUUAGGCGAUUGCAGGCCUGGUUAUCUGGUGCAAUGAGGAAAGACAUCAUUUCAAAGGAUCAAGACGCUGAAAUCAUUUUAAAGCUCGCACUUGAGAGGAAUAUGGAUGGCGUAAAGGAAAGACAGUGAGGAACAGUUUAAAUGAUGCCAACCGCACGAUGGUAAAGGCAGGCUCUGCAUUCUGGGAGAUAAUCAAUGAGGGAGUGUCAGCGCCUGCUUAUUGAAAGGUCAACCUAAGGUGUCUCUGAGGCUCCCGCUGGCAACAGGAGUGAAGUAAUACGUAACUUGAAAAUAUGUGUUUUGCUUUCGUUCAGUUGUGAAAUAACAAUAUUAUGAUCUCAAGCCAGAAGGAGACCCAGCUAUUUCCUAUGCAGCUAAGUCAUUUUUUCUUAUCUCUUUGGUUUUGUUUUGUUGUUCACAGGCUCUUGGAAGUCAGAAAAUACAGACUUCUAAUUCAGUGCUCUGUUCAUUAACUCACACCUCUUCUUAAGACUUUGUAGAUCAAGGUUGGGAACCUGAACCUGGACCACAGAGCUCAAAGUCUCCGACAUCUGAUGACAUCGGUGGAUCUAAAGCAAUCCUUUUUUUUUUUUUCUUAAGAAAAUGUACUUAUUUAUUUUUUAGACAGAAGGGAAGCGAGGGAGAAAGAGGGAGAGAAACAUCAGUGUGUGGUUGUCCCUCACACGCCCCCUACUGGGGACCUGGCCUGCAACCCAGGCACGUGCCCUAAAUGAGAAUCAAACUGGCGACCCUUGGGUUCGCAGGCCGGUUCUCAACCCACUGAGCCACACCAGCCAGUGCUAAAGCAAUGUUUUCAUGGCCGUGAACUAAUGACCUUUCAAGGACUCAUGGAGAGGUGUUCUCAUCUUCAUCCUUCCACUGGUCCAGCCACAUCUUCAUCCCACCCCUCAUCCCUACCCACUUGGAAUCACAUGAUCCUCAGGGUCUCGUGAGACAACGUGGUGAGGACAGAGCCGAGUGCACUUGCCAGUGUCAGAGAAAGGGAGAGAGGGAAAUCUGUGUUGUAGAGCAUUCACGUGGCCGAGGAGACGAAGCUGGCCGUAGACCAAGGGUGUGACUGUGAGUACGAAGAGGAGGUAUAAGAGACAUUAAAAAAAAAACACAGUGCUUGAUGACGCGUUGUGAAUAGAGAGAUCUGAGAAUUAUCCUCAGAGCCUGUCUCUGCAUGCUUUCGUUUUUAUCCUGAAUAAAUGAGAGUUGAGAGUAUGACUAUCGUGGUCACUGGGACUGUCGCACACAAUAAAAGCCUCUCAGCUGACCAGACUCGAGUUGAAACAAGCCAUUCAGGAGCCCCCUAAUAACCGCCAGCAUCUCCAACGUCUCCAAGAAUCCUCUGCUUGGGAUGCUCUUUGCAAAUAACAACACAGCGGAAACUAGAAUCAUGGAUUCCCCCACUGGGCACUGCUCACUGUCUAAAUGAAUGUCAACUAAUGGGGUUAAAAUGUGUGGGGCGGAAAGUGGAGGGAGGCUGAAAGCUCUCAGCACACACAUUUGCCGGAAUCCACACAAAGAGCGACGGGAAUUGGAAUGGAAAUAGAACCGGGAGCACCAGACAGAACUAAUUCAAAGUCAUCAGUGUUCCCGGCAGGCGUCCAGUGAAAGGGAAAGGUACCCUAUUCAGCUCCACAAGUUUGCCAAACUGAAGGGCCUAGAGUGGUGUGGGCCGGCAAAUAGGUGACUCCCUUUUAUUCUUCGGGUGGGAAG